rnacentral:Y_RNA from 1 species
GUCUGGUCCUGCUGCCGUGGUGUUCACAAAUAAAUGAUCAUAACCAGUUACAGGUUUCUUUAUUCCUUUUCCACUCCCACUGCUUCACUUAACUAGCCCUAA